rnacentral:lncRNA from 1 species
GUCCGGCUAAUUUUUUGUAUUUUUGGUAGAGAGAGGGUUUCGCCAUGUUGGCCAGCCUGGUCUGGAAUUCCUGACCUCAGGUGAUCCGCCUGCCUCAGCCUCACAAAGUGCUGGGAUUACAGGCAUAAGCCACUGCACCCAGCCAAAAAAAUUUUUUUUUUAAUUAGCCCAGCCUGGUGGUGCAGGCCUGCAGUCCCAGCUACUCGGGAGGGUGAAGCAGGAGGAUCACUUGAGACCAGGAGGUCAAGGUUACAUGAGCUAUUAUUGCACCACUGUACUCCAACCUGAGCAACAGAGUGAGACCUUGUCUCUUUAAAAAAAAAAAAAAAAAGAACAAAAAUAACAAGUAUUUUUUACAUUUUGGAAUUGAGAUAUGAGAGAAAUUCCCACACUGCACCACAGUUGAGGUAGUGGACAACCAAGUUCAGUCUACACACAUUCCACUUGGCUGUUGCUUAAAAGGUCUUGUGAUGUAACAACAAAGUAAACUUCAGUUGAAGCACCUUUAUGAGAGGCAAUGACACAUGAAUCGGACCCCACUGAAACCAGUAAUAGGGAUAAAUGGACAUGCUGUUAGGGUAUAAGACAGCCAAAAAAUUUUCUCUCAGGAUAGACAUUACAGCCCUAAUAACACACUUGAUUCUUUGCUUUAGCCUAAUAAGGAAAGCAGAUUUCCAAUCAGUGAGAGGAGUUCCCCUCCGCCAGCGAUUUGGGAAACUGUUGGGAGUUGUGGUGGUAGCAGAACACAGGAGCAAGCCACUCAGGAGCUGGACAAGGGUGGUAGCAGUGGGGAUGCAGAAAGGGGACAUACUGGAGAUGUGUUUUGUGUUUUUAUUGAGAGCCUGCUAAAUGCCAUGUUACAUUCACGGUGCCUGAUUACAGAGGUGGAGAAGAUAAGGACCUGCUCUCGCUUGAUUAAGAGCACGGAUGCUGAAGCUAGUCUGCUUGGAUUCAAAUCCCAGCUCUGGGCUGAACAUGCUGGCUAAUGCCUAUAAUUCCAACACUAUGGGAGGUAAAGGUGAGAGGAUCACUUGAGCCCAGGAGUUCAAGAGCAACCUGGGCAACAUAGUGAGACUGUCUAUACAAAAAAAAAAAAGAAAAAGAAAAAGAAAAAUUAACUGGGCAUGGUGGCACAUGCCCAUAGUCCCAGCUAGUGGGGAAGCUAAGGUGGGAGGAUGGCUUGAGCCCUGGAGGUCAAGGCUGUAGUGAGCAAUGAAUGAUCUUACCACUGCACUCCAGCCUGGGUAAUAGAGUGAGACCCCGUUUCAAAAUAUAAAAAAUAAAAAAUCCCAGCUCUGCCACUAACUAACUGUAUGACCAUGUGCAAGUUACUUAACCUACCAAGACUCAGUCUCCUCAUCUGUAAAAUGGGCAUAAUAAAAGUAGCCACCUUCUAGAGUAAUAGGCCCGAUUCUAAAUGCCUAACAAGAUUAAACAUUAGCCAGGUGCGGGCUCCCACCUGUAAUCCCAACAAUUUAGGAGGCCAAGGCGAAAGCAUUACCUGAGCCUAGGAGUUUGAGACCAGCCUGGGCAACAUGUCAAGGCCCUGUCUCUACAAAAAAUACAAAAAACUAGCCAGGCAUGGUGGUGCACACCUCUGGUCCCAGCUACUUGGGAGGCUGAGGUGGGAGGAUCACUUGAGCCCGGGAAGUGGGGGUUGACAUAUUCCAGCCUGGGCAACAGAGCAAGACCCUGUCUCAAAAAAAAAAGAAAGAAAAAGAAAAAGCAUAUUAAGUUUUAGCUAUUACAAUUUAAGGAGCUUUCAUUCUAGUGAAGGGAAGCAGAAAAUAAACUAGCACUAAAUAUUAGGUUAUGGUAAGUUCAAAGAAGAACAUUUAAAAAGGAGAUAUAGAGAACUUCAUGAACUACUUCACUUAGGUGCUCCGGAGAUGACAUUUAAUCUGAGACCUAAAUAGCAAGGGGCCAGACAUGAAAAUAUCUAGGAAAAUAACAUUCUGGAAAGAAACAAUGAAUGCAAACUCCCCAGGGCGAGAACAAGCUUAGCACAUCCCAGGGACAGAAAAAAGGGUAACAGCCGGGCGCAGUGGCUCAUGCCUGUAAUCCCAGCACUUUGGGAGGUCAAGGUGGGUGGAUCAUUUGAGGUCAGGAGUUAGAGACCAGCCUGGCCAACAUGGUGAAACCCUGUCUCUACUAAGAAUACAAAAAAAUGAGCCGGGCAUGGUGGUGCACGCCUGUAAUCUCAGCUACUCGGGAGGCUGAGGCAUGAGAAUCAGU